rnacentral:lncRNA from 1 species
AAACCCAGAAUCCUGUUCUCUGGAAGGUUGCCAGGUGGCGGCCGACAGCCUCAAAGAUGCGACUGAGUCUGCGCACGCCCACUCCGGAUGGGAAAUGCUCAUACCGCGGAGAGGCGGCGUGGUGCGGCAGUUUCUGGUUCUGGGCGCGGAUGCGGGGAAAAUGGGAAAGGUUCUUUCUGGAAAAUGUAAUGACAUGUCCAUCUGUGACAGCAUCCCAAGAGUCAGCCUGGUUUCUGGAAAUCUAUUCUGACUCCAUGGCAGCUAGGAUGGAUGUAACUUUGCCUGUGGUUAGAAAACAAAGGGUUUACUGAGCAUGGCACGUUUGACCUCCGUGAAUCUGUGCCAUAUAAAAUCCUGGUAGAACAAUUCAAUAAACGUAAAACCACAAUAACAACCGCAAAAACAAAAGUUAAAGCUACUUUUAGAAAC